AUACGAAAGGUGCAAGCGUUGCUCGGAUUUACUGGGCGUAAAGAGAGUGUAGGUGGUUUAUUAAGUCGGAUGUGAAAUCCCGGGGCUCAACCUCGGAACUGCAUUCGAUACUGAUAGGCUAGAGUUUGGGAGGGGUAAGCGGAAUUCCGUGUGUAGCAGUGAAAUGCGUAGAUAUACGGAGGAACACCUGAGGCGAAGGCGGCUUACUGGACCAAUACUGACACUGAGACUCGAAAGCGUGGGUAGCAAACAGGAUUAGAAACCCGAGUAGUCC
rnacentral:rRNA from 1 species